rnacentral:rRNA from 1 species
GAUGAACGCUGGCGGCGUGCCUAAUACAUGCAAGUCGAGCGAACAGACGAGGAGCUUGCUCCUCUGACGUUAGCGGCGGACGGGUGAGUAACACGUGGAUAACCUACCUAUAAGACUGGGAUAACUUCGGGAAACCGGCGCUAAUACCGGAUAAUAUAUUGAACCGCAUGGUUCAAUAGUGAAAGACGGUUUUGCUGUCACUUAUAGAUGGAUCCGCGCCGCAUUAGCUAGUUGGUAAGGUAACGGCUUACCAAGGCAACGAUGCGUAGCCGACCUGAGAGGGUGAUCGGCCACACUGGAACUUAGACACCGUCCAGACUCCUACGGGAGGCAGCAGUAGCGAAUCUUCCGCAAUGGGCGAAAGCCUGACGGAGCAACGCCGCGUGAGUGAUGAAAGUCUUCGGAUCGUAAAACUCUGUUAUUAGGGAAGAACAAAUGUGUAAGUAACUAUGCACGUCUUGACGGUACCUAAUCAGAAAGCCACGGCUAACUACGUG